UCCUACACUGUGAGGGGAAUGGGCGGUUAGUCAGUCAGUCAGGUAAAAAGCGAGCCUGAGCCCAGAGGGCAGCGCAAGAGUACAGAACUGAAAAACAAAAUGAAUCCAGAAAUGAUCAGCUGAUAAGAUCUCAUAAGAUAAAAUUGUCAGCCAUCAGGUCAGAAGCAUAGUAGCUGUCUAGUCUCGGGAUUCUGUGUUGAGAGAGCACUUGCCGUGUUAGUUGAAGCAGGAGAAUGGAAGCCAGAAAAGUAGACAGCUCAGAUAUCCAGACAGAUGAAGGGCAAGCUAUAAACAGUUUUAAUAGAAAUAAAUAACAUUUAAGAAGUCUAAACCAGUUAUGUACCCAAGUAUUGAAAGCAAGGGAAGAGAGACAAUUGAGAAGCUUGAAACUGGAGAGUUAGAGGUGGAAAGAUGGGAGAGACAGAGAGAAUUUUAUACCAAAAUCCAGGACAGACAAAAGGAAGGACUUCUUCACACAGCACACAGUUAAAUUAUGGAAUGCUGGUUGGCUACUGUGAGAACAGGAUGCUGGACUAGAUGGGCCACUGGUCUGAUCCAGCAGGGCUCUUAUUAUUGUCCUGUGUUCAAAGGGGCUGGCCUGAUGUGGCAUUGAGGCAGCCUUUCACGGAACAGGAAGCAAACUGAUGGCUGUGUGUUUUAUCGCAGGGACAAAAACCUUUUAUCCUUUUACUUCACAUUCCCUUCUAAGACUGGGAAUAGGAGAUACUCUGGCAGGUCUACCCUCUUCCAUGCUAAACUUGGAGGACUUCAAAAUAAGAAGUGUGAACACACUAAAACAAUGUAGAUCGCCCCAACACUACUAAUUAAAAAGAUACAUUGGUAAUUUUAGAAGUGGUGUAUGGCAUGCCUUGUUUAUAUACUGCCUUUUAGUCCAAAGCCCCAUGAAUACUGCUUUCUCAGUGAGCCAUGAAUGCUGGCUAUGUUCUGUCUCUAACGCAGAGGCAGCGUGUCUCUGAAUGCCAUUUGCUGGGAAUCACAGAUGGAGAGAGUUCUGUUGCACUCACAUCCUGCUUUGGGCUUCCCAGAGAAGGCACCUGGUGAGCGACUGUGAGAAUAGGAUGCUGGACUCUACUGCUAUUUGCUCCUGCUUCACCACCCACAAUACAGAAUCCUCUGUGAGGUUGCACAACUAGCAGCUUCAUCACCAAUGUAAACAUUAAAGUCCACACUUAAACCUUCCCCAUUUUUUUCCAAAUUCUGUCCGCACAUUAUUUGCAUUCUGCAAUUUGUCAUUUACUUUGUUGGUAGACUUUAUGACAAUCAAUGGCUGUGUCAUAGCCUAGCAGUGAGGCUCAAUAGUUAGAAUACCAGUGAAUAUGUUGCCUUGGUUGAUGAGGUAGGGUGGGAUGGGAGGGCAGCAGGCUCACAGGUGAAUAGAUAAAAAAAAAUUUAAUACACACGAUAAUACUCACUGAAAACAUUGUCUUCUUGUCCAUCUAAGCACCAAUUUGGAAAAAGACUGGGCAGGAGGCAAGCAGCAUUACUACAACAGAUGAAUUAAUAGUUGCAUUAAAUACUAGUGUGUCUGGGUCUUGAAAACCUCAGUGAAACUUCAAAUAUAUUAGGAGCGGGGGAAACCAGUUCGUUAUGUUUCAGCAACACUGUUUUCCACUGGGUCCAUGGAAACUAAUUUUCUAAUCAGCAAACAAUAAAAAAGCAGCCUGAGUGAUUCCCAUCCACAGUUUGGAUUCCAAUUCUAUCAAGGGAGGAAAAGCCAGCUCAAUUCAGUAAGGCAGCACUGAACCUCUAAUUGACAUAAUUGAGACAGACCAGCCACUGGAUUGAUAGGGCAGAGAAAGGGAGCAGGUGUCCUGAUCUGAGAAAGAAAUGGAAAUCCAGGACUGCAGCAUCCCUCUUAUUCCAUACUCUUAUAGCAACUGAAAACCCUAAGAUGAGUUGAUUCACAAUGUAAUGAAGUCAAAGGCAAACUGGCAAGAGUCACCUAGGCAAGGGUACUCAUGUUGUCCCCAAAGCCUAUUUCAACAUUUGUGGGUGUUGCUGGAAUAAAUCCAUAUGCUGUGUGUGAAUAAUGCAGAGAACUUCCCCUGGCACAUCUAAAGCACCAGGCGAAUUUCUCACCAUGUUUUAUUUGCAACUAAGAUAGUAUUUAUUCUGUAUUAGCUUAUAUCGCCC